GGCUAGACAUGCCUGCAAUGACACAGAAGAACUGGCAAUGAAACCAAUACUACUUAUUUCAUUACGGUCUGUGUGCCAUAGCUGGCGUGUCUCUAGCCA
rnacentral:pre_miRNA from 1 species